CACGUAGGGGGCAAGCGUUGUCCGGAUUUAUUGGGCGUAAAGAGCUCGUAGGCGGUUCGGUAAGUCGGGUGUGAAACCUCCAGGCUCAACCUGGAGAUGCCACCUGAUACUGCUGUGACUCGAGUCCGGUAGGGGAGCGUGGAAUUCCUGGUGUAGCGGUGAAAUGCGCAGAUAUCAGGAGGAACACCAGCGGCGAAGGCGGCGCUCUGGGCCGGAACUGACGCUGAGGAACGAAAGCGUGGGUAGCAAACAGG
rnacentral:rRNA from 1 species